UACGUAGGGACCGAGCGUUGUCCGGAAUCAUUGGGCGUAAAGAGCGUGUAGGCGGCUUGUUAAGUCUUGCGUGAAAUCUCGGGGCUCAACCCCGAGCGGUCGUGAGAAACUGGCAGGCUAGAGUGCGGGAGAGGAGAGUGGAAUUCCUGGUGUAGCGGUGAAAUGCGCAGAGUAUCAGGAGGAACACCGGUGGCGAAGGCGGGACUCUGGGCCGAUACUGACGCUGAGGAGCGAAAGCGUGGGGAGCGAACAGG
rnacentral:rRNA from 1 species